UGGGGAAUAUUGCACAAUGGGCGAAAGCCUGAUGCAGCAACGCCGCGUGAGUGAUGAAGGCCUUCGGGUUGUAAAGCUCUGUCUUUUGGGACGAUAAUGACGGUACCAAAGGAGGAAGCCACGGCUAACUACGUGCCAGCAGCCGCGGUAAUACGUAGGUGGCAAGCGUUGUCCGGAUUUACUGGGCGUAAAGGAUGCGUAGGCGGAUUUUUAAGUGAGAUGUGAAAACCCUAAGCUUAACUUGGGGACUGCAUUUCAUACUGGAAAUCUAGAGUGCGGGAGAGGAGAAUGGAAUUCCUAGUGUAGCGGUGAAAUGCGUAGAGAUUAGGAAGAACACCAGUGGCGAAGGCGAUUCUCUGGACCGUAACUGACGCUGAGGCAUGAAAGCGUGGGUAGCAAACAGGAUUAGAUACCCUGGUAGUCCACGCCGUAAACGAUGAGUACUAGGUGUAGGAGGUAUCGACCCCUUCUGUGCCGCAGUUAACACAAUAAGUACUCCGCCUGGGAAGUACGAUCGCAAGAUUAAAAACUCAAAUGAAUUGACGGGGUCAUAGCUGUUUCC
rnacentral:rRNA from 1 species